GCCCCUGUAGUGUAGUCCGGUCAAGCACCCAGGCUUCUCAAGCCUGUAGCCCGGGUUCGAAUCCCGGCGGGGGCA
rnacentral:tRNA from 1 species